UGUGUAUAUACAUAUAUGUGUAUGUGUAUAUACAUAUAUAUGUGUAUACACACACACACACACACACACACACACACACACACACACACACAUAU
ensembl:miRNA Gm24557 predicted gene, 24557